GUACACAGUUGACUCCCUCAGUAAGCCCCGUGUUAAAAUAUUGUUGGCUGGCUAACAAGUUUUUUUAUUAUUUUUUUUGCAGUCUUGCAAAUAAAUGGUUUUAUAUUGUAAAUUGAGAUCCCAUUUGUAAAAUGGAAUGUAUUCGAGUUUAUCUGGAGAGCCUGAAGCAAGGACUGCAAAUUGAUGUCUUGAGGGAAGUUGGACGUCAAUAUCCUGUCUUUUGCUUUCUUCUGGUUUUCAUGCUGUCAUUAACUAUACUUCUUAAUAGGUAUCUUCACAUUCUGAUGGUGUUUUGGUCCUUCCUGGCUGGAGUGAUUACGUUCUAUUGCUCCCUCGGUCCAGAAUCACUCCUGCCCAACAUCCUGUACACCAUAAAGCCCAAGAACAAACAAGAGCAACAGGAGCUGUUUCCAUUGGGACACAGCUGUGCAGUGUGUGGGAAAGUAAAGUGCAAACGUCACAGACCAACAUUACUCCUAGAAAACUAUCAGCCAUGGUUGGACUUGAAAGUCUACUCCAAAGUGGAUGCUUCCAUGUCUGAGGUGCUCGAGUUGGUUCUGGAGAAUUUUGUAUAUCCCUGGUACCGGAACAUCACAGAUGAUGAGGCAUGUGUAGAUGAACUGAGAAUGACCUUUCGGUUCUUUGCAUCUGUGUUAGUUCGACGCGCUCAGAAGGUUGAUGUCCCCUCAGUUAUUUCUGGCAAAAUGAUGAAAGCAGCUAUGAAGCACGUUGAAAUAAUUGCAAAGGCCAAGCAAAAAGUGAAGAACACUGAGGGAUUGCAGCAGGCUGCUCUGGUUGAGUAUGGCCCUGACUUACAUUUUGCCCUGCAUAGUCGCAAAGAUGAGCUGCGUUAUCUCAGGAAGGUGACAAAGAUGCUAUUUGCCUAUCUCAUGCCUCCCAAAGCCACUGACUGCAGAUCUCUAGCUGUGCUGAUGCAAGAGAUCCUGGUAGGCUCUGUGUUCCUCCCCAUCAUGGACUUCAUGGCUGAUCCUGAUACUGUGAACCACAUGGUGCUAAUAUUCGUUGAUGACACUCCAUCUGAGCCGGCCAUGGAGCCACCAUCUAGCCUGGUUCCAUUCCUGCAGAAAUACGCUGACCCUCGUACCAAGAAGACAUCUGUGCUGAAGCUGGAGCUGAAGGAGAUUCGGGAGCAGCAGGACCUUCUGUUCCGCUUCAUGAACUUCCUAAAGCAGGAGGGAGCUGUGCACGUGCUCCAGUUCUUACUCACCGUGGAGGAGUUCAAUGAUAAGAUCCUGUGUCCAGAGCUGAGUGAAGCUGAGCUGCAGCGUCUGCAUGGUGAGGUGCAGCACGUCUACGAGACCUACUGCUUGGAGGAGAGUAUCGACAAGAUCAGUUUUGACCGGUUCAUCGUUGAGGAAAUACGAAACAUUGCAGAGGGGCCGUACGAGGGAGUGGUGAAGCUGCAGACUAUGCGCUGCCUGUUUGAGGCCUACGAGCAUGUCCUGUCCCUGCUGGAGAGUGUCUUCACCCCCAUGUUCUGCCACAGCGAUGGGUAUUUCAGAUACCUGCUGAUGGGGGCAGAGUCUCCAAAAAGGGACUCCAGAAUGAACAGGAAUAGUCUGAGUGUGGAUGAUAUGAGGAACGUCUCAAAACGAGGGGAGACGUUUGGGAUCAGCCGGAUCGGCAGCAAAAUCAAAGGCGUCUUCAAGAGCACCACCAUGGAGGGGGCGAUGCUGCCGUACUCCAUGUGCGAUGCUGAAGAUGAAGCGGUUGAGGAAGCGACUAUGGUGAUGGAGGAUGACUCCCCUGUGGAGGCAGCUAGUACUCCAGGAGUCCUGAGGAACUUGUCAGCCUGGAGCAUCACCAUCCCCUACAUUGACUUCUACGAUGACGAGGUGAAGAAGGAGAGGGUCCCCGUGUUCUGCAUCGACGUGGAACGCAAUGACAUGAAGGAAGUGGGACAUGAAACAGAGGACUGGUCCAUCUUCAGACGAUACAUGGAAUUCUACGUUCUAGAAAAUAAACUCACAGAGUUCCACGGCUCAUUUGCAGAUGCACAGCUCCCUUCGAAAAGAAUUAUAGGACCAAAGAACUAUGAGUUCCUAUCAUCAAAGAGGGAAGAAUUUGAGGAGUAUUUGCAGAGACUGCUGCAGCACCCAGAGUUGAGUAACAGUCAGCUGUUGGCAGACUUCCUGUCACCUCACAGCAUGGAGACUCAGUUCAUGGACAAGAUGAUGCCUGAUGUAAACCUGGGUAAAAUAUUCAGGUCUGUCCCUGGAAAAAUUAUAAAAGAGAAAGGACAGAACCUAGAGCCUUUCAUCCAGUCCUUCUUCAACUCUUGUGAAUCUCCCAAAGUCAAACCCAGCAGGCCUGAGCUGACCACCCUCAGCUCUACUGCUGAGUACAACAAGCUCUCCAAUGACCUCUACAAAAACAAUGCUAAUCUGUUUGAGACCCUGGAGACACAUAACCGGAACUACUUUAUGGAGAUGAUCUCGGUAGAAGGGAUGUAUGACUACAUGAUGUUUAUGGGUCGAGUCGUGUUCCACAUGCCAGACUGGAUGCAUCACAUCCUGUCAGGGGGGCGGAUCUUGCUCAAGAACACAUUUGAGGCCUACAUGGAUAGCUACAUUCAACACAAACUAGAGAUGAUCCUGCAGGAGCACCGUGUGGUGUCUCUCGUCACCAUGCUCAGAGAUGCUGUGUUCUGCGAGAACAGUGAGGAACGCACCACAGGAGACAAGCAGAGAAGAGCCAAGAAGGCAUUUGAAGAGAUGAUUAAUUAUCUGCCAGACUUUAUGGAAAAGUGCAUUGGACAGGAGGCCAAGUACGAGGGCAUCCGACUUCUCUUUGACGGCUUCCAGCAGCCACUUCUCAACAAGCAGAUGACGUACGUUCUGAUGGAUAUUGCUGUCGAAGAACUGUUUCCAGAACUCGGCAAGGUAAACUUCUGAGAAUCAGCUAUACAGAGCCUUGCAAAAGUAUUCAUCCCCCUUGGCGUUAUUCCUAUUUUGUUGCAUUACAACCUGUAAUUUAAAUAGAUUUUUAUUUGGAUUUCAUGUAAUGGACAGACACAACAUAGUCCAAAUUGGUGAAGUGAAAAAAAUUACUUAUUUAAAAAAAGAAAUGUAAAAGUGGUGUGUGUAUGUAUUCACCCCCUUUGCUAUGAAGCCCCUAAAUAAAACCUGGUGCAACCAAUUACCUUCAGAAGUCACAUGGUUAGUAAAAGUCCACCUGUGUGCAAUCUGUGUCACAUGAUCUCAGUAUACAUACACCUGUUCUGAAAGGGCCCAGAGUCUGCAACACCAGUAAGCAAGAGGCACCACCAAGCAAGCAGCACUAUGAUGACCAAGGAGCUCUCCAAAUAGGUCAGGGACAAAGUUGUGGAGAAGUACAGAUCAGGGUUGGGUUAUAAAAAAAUAUCAGAAACGUUGAACAUUCCACGGAGCACAAUUAAAUCCAUUAUUAAAAAAAUUGAAAGAAUACGGCACAACAAACCUUCCAAGAGAGGGCCGCCCACCAAAACUCACAGACCAUGCAAGGAGGGCAUCAAUCAGAGAGUCAACAAAGAGAUCAAAGAUAACCCUGACGGAGCUGCAAAGCUCCACAGCGGAGAUUGGAGUAUUUGUUGCAGUAUAGGACCGCCUUAAGCCGUACACUCCACAGAGCUGGGCUUUACGGAAGAGUGGCCAGAAAAAGCCAUUGCUUAAAGAAAUAAAUUGGUGUUCGCCAAAGGCAUGUGGGAGACUCCCCAAACAUUGAAGAAGGUACUCUGAUCAGAUGAGACUAAAAUAUAGAUGUUUGGCCAUCAAGGAAAACGCUAUGUCUGGUGCAAACCCAACACCUCUCAUCACCCGAGAACACCAUCCCUACAGUGAAGUAUGGUGGUGGCAACAUCUUGCUGUGGGGAUGUUUUUCAUUGGCAGGAACUGGGAAACUGGUCAGAAUUGAAGGAAUGAUGGAUGGCGCUAAAUACAGGGAAAUUCUUGAGGGAAACCUGUUUCAGUCUUCCAGAGAUUUGAGACUGGCACGGAGGUUCACUUGGGACGGAGGACAAUGACCCUAAGCAUACUGCCAAAGUAACACUCGAGUGGUUUAAGGGGAAACAUUUAAAUGUCUUGGAAUGGCCUAGUCAAAGCCCAGACCUUAAUCCAAUUGAGAAUCUGAAGUAUGACUUAAAGAUUGCUGUACACCAGCAGAACCCAUCCAACUUGAAGAAUGGGCAAAAAUCCCAGUGGCUUGAUGUUCCAAGCUUAUAGAGACAUACCCCAAGAGACUUGCAGCUGUAAUUGCUGCAUAAGGUGGCUCUACAAAGUAUUGACUUUGGGGGGGGGGGGGGGGGGGGGGUGAAAAGUUAUGCAAGCUCAAGUUUUCAGUUUUUUGUCUUUCUUGUUUGUUUCACCAAAAAUAUUUUGCAUCUUCAAAGUGGUAGGCAUGUUGUGUAAAUCAAAUGAUACACCCCCCCCCCCCCCUCACAAAAUUCAUUUUAAUUCCAGGUUGUAAGGCAACAAAAUAUGAAAAAUGCCAAGGGGGGUGAAUACUUUUGCAAGCCACUGUAUGCAGGGCAACCAUUCGUAAUACGUUUGUAGUACGUUUGUCAUAAUAUGUAUGCCUACGAGCUGACAAGGUACAAAUCUGUCGUUCUGCCCCUGAACAGGCAGUUAACCCACUGUUCCCAGGCCGUCAUUGAAAAUAAGAAUGUGUUCUUAACUGACUUGCCUGGUUAAAUAAAGAAGGGACAAGGGGAGCAGUCGGCAGACAGUAACCAGUUAAUUUAGAAAACAGCUUGCUUCCUUUUCCUGGAGCCAAAGUGCAAUACAGCAAAUUCCAAUGUCUCUGUGAGCAUAUAUCAACAUUCCAAUGUCUCUGUGAGCAUAUAUCAACAUUCCAAUGUCUCUGUGAGCAUAUAUCAACAUUCCAAUGUCUCUGUGAGCAUAUAUCAACAUUCCAAUGUAUAAUAAUGCAUUAAUAAAAAUAUAUUUAUAGAUUUUA